UCACAAAACAAAAACAUAUCACAUACAGCAACAGUGACAUGUAACAGUAAGCUUAGGAUGUAACUAACUAAUUCAUUAACUGACCAAUUGUAUUCAGUCCAGGGAUUUCACUUACUACCGUAAAGUGUCUGAUGCAUACUAAACUUACAUUGACUUAUCUAAUAGAAAUUGCGUUCAUGCUUUAUUUGCUUGAUUGCAAAUGAGACUGUUUUUGACUCCUUUGCCAUGACUGCUUAUUUUCACUGUAAAAAAAAAAAAAAAAAAAAACCUAAAAGAAAACCUAAACACACUGUCCAUUUAUUACGGAUUCAGCAUGUGUCCCACCAGACGAUAAUCUGUUCCUGGUAAUUGUGAUCUUUGCUGCGCUGCUGCUUGGCAUCAUCAUGUGCUUCCUCAUAUGGAUCAUCCUUAAGGUCAAAACCACCAAAAAGCGCACCAAAAAGACACAGAGGCACGUCACCACCAAUGAUGUUUAUGAGGACAUGCGUGGAACAAUCAGACGCUGAAGAUGUCAGCCCGCAA